GCCAAUCAGAAUGCUAGAUAUUAUAGCACAUUAUGCUAUAUUGACCCUAUUACCAGAAAGGUUGUGGCUCAUCAUGUACUUAUAUAAAUAUUAUAAUUCUGCUAAAUAAUGAAUUUUUAAAUUGUAAAUCGCAUAAAUAGCCUUUCAUUUGUUCUUAAUUGACCGCAAUUAUGGCUUUAGCAUCAUGCGCUGAAAAUCAGCGCUCUUGACAACACUGAACUGAACAAAACAAAUCCAACAUUUUCCCGCCUAAACUGCCUCACUCGGGACUUCGUGUUGAGCGGCCAACAACAGAUUUCUCCCUGUUUUGUCUCGUUACCGGGUUUUCCUCUCCCUCUGUUGUGCAUUAAGAGAUACUGAAGACCCUGCUCGUGGACCAAAGGACAGUGAAAUCACCGCAAACAAGGAUGUGGAAAAGAUCGGUGUGGCUGGAGGGCAGAAAAGAAGAGGAGUGUGUGGUACCAUCUACCUGGAUAGUUGAAGGCAGCCAGAUUUUAUAUUGGCCAUCAAAAGUUGAUGCUCACAAUGCCUUAACUAGUCGAGAAGACCCAGACCCCAAAUCAUGGAGAAAAUUUCCAUUGAUAAAAGUAAAAAUAGCUUCUGACAGUUACGAGGAAUGUGAGCAGCACCAGCUGACAUCAGCAGUAGACAGUGACAGAAGCAGCAGUGACCUGGAUGGGGAAGAUGGUUUGACCUUGCGUGGUAGGAAGAAACGUAUGAAGAAAGCUCUGCCAAAGGACUUUAUUAGUAGUCAGGAUUUGGACUGUUCACACUUUGCCUCAGGGCCAUGUUUACAAGAAACAGUUGCUCCCCCCACCACAAAAGGUUGUCCCAUACAACCAUCAACACAAAGGCUUGCCAAGUGCAGCAAGAAAAAAAUCUGAAAAGACAUAAUUCUGACAGAUGUGAAAGUAACCGGCAAAAGAAGAGUAGUUACCAACAGCAAGAUGAAGGCAGUCAGCCUGAUACCCUACACGGCAGUUUGGACCUUCAUGACAACCACAGCCUAAGGAACAGAUCUGACCGACAGACGAGACAUGACAGCAGUGACCAACAAAGCAGACAUGACAGCAGCGAUUGACACAACAGACAUGACAGCAGCGAUUACACAGCAGACAUGACAGCAGUGACCGACACAGCAGACAUGACAGCAGUGACCAACACAGCAGACGUGACAGCAGUGACCAACACAAAAGACAUGACAGUCGUGGCCGAUGCAGCAGACUUGACAGCAGUGACCGACACAACAGACAUGACAGUCAUGACCGACACAACAGACAUGACAGCAGUGACCGACGCAGCAGGCAUGACAGUCAUGACCGACACAACAGACAUGACAGUCGUGACCGACAUGACAGCAGUGACCGACGCAGCAGGCAUGACAGUCGUGACCGACACAACAGACAUGACAACAGUGACCAACGCAGCAGACAUGACAGCAGUGACCGACAAGGGAGUGAUUGGAUUCAGAAUCUGUCUAGUGAAGACCUUGAUGAUGUUCAACCCUUGAACCAAGGAGAAAACCGUCAAAGUGGAUUUCCUAUGGAUUGGGCAAAAUUCCAGAGGCGAGUCAUUCAUUUGUUGCUGGAUAUGAGGACCUCUUUGCAUACUCUUACUGGCUCUACACCAAGUGACAAUGAUAUAUCAAUUCAACAGCUGGACUCUAUGGAGGAUGCAGAGGCAUUUGAAAAUGAAUUGUGAACACCCUCUUUUUGCAAAGAAAUGACAGAAAAAUUUGUCCACAUAGGUGGAAUUUCAGUGAAGGAUAUGAUAUCAAAGGUAUUGUGCAGCAUUAUGUUGAAGAAGUUGAUGUGUAAGUACAACAUGUAUGGACAAUGGGGCAAAGUAGCUUUUA